AGAGCGAACGCUGGCGGCAGGCUUAACACAUGCAAGUCGAGCGGGCGUAGCAAUACGUCAGCGGCAGACGGGUGAGUAACGCGUGGGAACGUACCUUUUGGUUCGGAACAACCCAGGGAAACUUGGGCUAAUACCGGAUAAGCCCUUACGGGGAAAGAUUUAUCGCCGAAAGAUCGGCCCGCGUCUGAUUAGCUAGUUGGUGGGGUAAUGGCCCACCAAGGCGACGAUCAGUAGCUGGUCUGAGAGGAUGAUCAGCCACAUUGGGACUGAGACACGGCCCAAACUCCUACGGGAGGCAGCAGUGGGGAAUAUUGGACAAUGGGCGCAAGCCUGAUCCAGCCAUGCCGCGUGAGUGAUGAAGGCCCUAGGGUUGUAAAGCUUCUUUGUGCGGGAAGAUAAUGACGGUACCGCGAAGAAUAAGCCCCGGACUAACGUUCGCGCCAGCAGCCGC
rnacentral:rRNA from 1 species